GUGUCAGCAGCCGCGGAAAUACGAAUGUGGCAAGCGUUGUUCGGAUUUACUGGGCGUAAAGCGGGCGUAGGCGGCCGGCUAAGUCGGAUGUGAAAUCCCGGGGCUCAACUCCGGAACUGCAUUCGAUACUGGUCGGCUAGAGUUCGAGAGGGGGAUGCGGAAUUCCGCGUGUAGCAGUGAAAUGCGUAGAUAUGCGGAGGAACACCUGAGGCGAAGGCGGCAUCCUGGAUCGACACUGACGCUGAGGCCCGAAAGCGUGGGGAGCAAACAGGAUUAGAUACCCUGGUAGUCCACGCCCUAAACGAUGUCUACUAGCCGUUGCGGGUAUCGAACCCUGCAAUGGCGCAGCUAACGCGAUAAGUCGACCGCCUGGGUAGUACGGCCGCAAGGUUAAAACUCAAAGGAAUUGGCGGGG
rnacentral:rRNA from 1 species